rnacentral:rRNA from 1 species
UACAGAGGGUGCAAGCGUUGUUCGGAAUUAUUGGGCGUAAAGGGCGCGUAGGCGGUGCUGUAAGUCUGUAGUGAAAUCUCUGGGCUCAACUCAGAGUCUGCCAUAGAAACUGUAGUGCUAGAGUGUGGGAGAGGUGAGUGGAAUUCCCGGUGUAGUGGUGAAAUGCGUAGAGAUCGGGAGGAACACCAGUGGCGAAGGCGGCCGGCUGGGGGUGCCCUGACGCUGAGGCGCGAAAGCGUGGGGAGCGAACCGG